GUCGGGUCCAAUCUCCCACCCGUGUCUACCACACCUAGUGUUGCUUUGGCGGGCCCACUCCUCCGGUGUUCCGCCGGGGGGGUCGUCCCGGGGCGCGGUGUGCCCCCGGGGCCCGUGCCCGCCAGAGGCACUCACUGUGAACGCUUUUGUGAAUGCGAGGAUUGUCUGAGUGACGAAAUGCAAUCGUUCAAAACUUUCAACAAUGGAUCUCUUGGUUCCGGCAUCGAUGAAGAACGCAGCGAAAUGCGAUAAGUAAUGUGAAUUGCAGAAUUCCGUGAAUCAUCGAAUCUUUGAACGCACAUUGCGCCCUCUGGUAUUCCGGGGGGCAUGCCUGUCCGAGCGUCAUUGCGAACCCUCAAGCACGGCUUGUGUGUUGGGCCGCCGUCCCCUCGUUUGGAGGGGACGGGCCUGAAAGGCAGCGGCGGCGUCGCGUCCGGUCCUCGAGCGUAUGGGGCUCUGUCACGCGCUCAAGGAGGGGUCCGGCCGGGGCCAUAGCCUCUGAAGGUCAAUUCUUCCAAGGUUGACCUCGGAUCAGGUAGGAGUACCCGCUGAACUUAAGCAUAUCAAUAAGCGGAGGA
rnacentral:rRNA from 1 species